GGUGUCUGUGGUGGACUCAGACUCGAAGGAAGAAGAGAUUUAGAAGCUAGGGUUUGGAAGAAGAACUCAGAGAAUGAUAAGAAGAUGAAAUCGAUAUUCUAAGAUGUUGUUAUGAGAUGGGUUUGAAUCGAAUUAGAGUUUUAAGUUGAAGAACAAUCUAAAUUUGAUAGCUGGGGUUGUGAUUCUGUUUGAGUGAAGAUUUUGGGAAUUAGCUGUGAUGAACUUUGGAUUAGGGGUUAUCUGGUCAUAAGCUGAAACAAAUCAAUCAAUCUAAGAAAGGGGUUGAUUUCAACUGGUGGAGUUAUUCAGGUGCUGAUACAAACACAGAGAUAUUGUGGGAAAAGGUAAUUCAGAGUUUCUUAUGUGUAAACUUUCUUCUAAGGUUAAUAGAAUGUAUGAAUGGAUUAUAGCUAGUAGAAGAAUAGGUUUGUGUAAUUGUUUUCUAUAAAUCGUAUUUCUUAUUGAAUUGAGUUGGAUGAAGAGAAUUAGGGAUUCUGUGAAUUAAUUGGGAAUGCAAGUUAAGUUUGUUUGAUAUAGAAAUGGUGUUAUGUAUUUGAGGUGGAACCAUAGUGUGUAUGGAAUUGGUGGUGACUUGCUGGAAUUACUGGUGGUGCUGGUGAAGAAAAUUGUAGGUAAUAAGAAGUGAGUAUGAUCUCAAUUGAAGUGCAUAUGGAGUCAUAGUGUUUUGAUAUAACUGAGUUAGUAACAAUCUUGAGAUUGUUGGUGGUAUUGAACUGGUGUUGUUGUUUAGGUUGGAGUGGAUUGGAGUUGUUAUGGUUUGAGUGUUUGAGUAGAUGAUGUAUGAAUGGGGGUUAUAGGUAGUGGUGGUGUUCUUAUUGCUGUUGUGGUGUUGUGGAAUGCAGGGAAGGAUUAGAAGUAUGUUAAUAGAGUAUAUGUGAAGAUGUAUGUUAAUAUUUGGAGAUGAUGACGAUAUUGAAUUGGCAGUGUCAAGAUAAUGAUGUUACAGUGGCAGUUUAGUUUUUUUGGUGGUUUAAGAUGAUGGUUUUCUGUGUGUUCAAGUUGCAAGGGAUAUGAGUGAUCUGCUGAAGUUGUGAAGGUGCAGUUUGUGGUUAUAAUGGAUCUGAAUUAUGUUUUGUUGAAAUAAAUAGAGCUUGGGUUAUAAACUGAGUUGAGGUUGAAUUAUGAGUUAGGCCUGCAGAGGGUUGUGAUUAAGUUUGAUGAUGAAUAUAGAGUUGCAGUUAGAUUGCUGUGAAAGCUUGGAACUGCAUUUUCAGUUAAUCUAUAUUAACAACGAUCGAUUCAAAGGAUGAACCAGUGGAUCGUGGAUCUCGAGGUAGGUGUGGCUUGUCAUCAAAAGAGGUGGGAAUACUUUAACUCUUUUUUAACCAUUAUUGUUUCUUUUACAAAAGUUUAUGUUUACAAACUCAUGCAUUGCCCGUUUGUAUAUUCCAUACAUUGUUUAGUUUGCAUUAUGAUUGUUUUGUUGAUUCUUUGAAACUUUCCACGAUUCGGAAAGGACUUGUAUUGUUUUGUUAUCAAUAAGAAUUGUUAUGGGAAAUAAAAAUUUCCACUUGUGGC